GCUUACCGCCAUACCACCCUGUCUGCGCCUGAUCUUGUGUGAUCUCGGAAGCUAAACAGGGUCGGGCCUGGUUAGUACUUGGAUGGGAGACAGCCUGGGAAUACCAGGUGCUGUAAGCU
rnacentral:rRNA from 1 species